AGGCGAUGUGUUCGGCAUCACUGCAGGUACAACAGGACGAUAAGGAAGGAGAUCAAGAGAGAAUGCUAAUCCUGGUGUCCAGUAGAGAGAUACAAGAGUGACUGUGACAAGGGGGCCUGGCAUGCAAGGCUUAGAGCCCACCAGACCACCACUUCCUUCUUACCACCACACGGCUCUAUUUCCAUGUUUAUGGCUUGUUUACGGAAGCGUCUUUGAAUGAUCGUGUGAAACGGAUGGACGGCAGGAAAUGGUUGAAACUGAGAAGUACUGUUGGCUGCAACUGUGUUAAAGGGAAAUAAAUAAAACAACGUCUA